rnacentral:rRNA from 1 species
GACGAACGCUGGCGGCGUGCUUAACACAUGCAAGUCGAACGGAAAGGCCCUGCUUGCAGGGUACUCGAGUGGCGAACGGGUGAGUAACACGUGGGUGAUCUGCCCUUCACUUCGGGAUAAGCCUGGGAAACUGGGUCUAAUACCGGAUAGGAGCCAUUUUUAGUGUGAUGGUUGGAAAGUUUUUUCGGUGUAGGAUGAGCUCGCGGCCUAUCAGCUUGUUGGUGGGGUAAUGGCCUACCAAGGCGGCGACGGGUAGCCGGCCUGAGAGGGUGGACGGCCACAUUGGGACUGAGAUACGGCCCAGACUCCUACGGGAGGCAUCAGUGGGGAAUAUUGCACAAUGGGCGCAAGCCUGAUGCAGCGACGCCGCGUGGGGGAUGACGGCCUUCGGGUUGUAAACUCCUUUCGCUAGGGACGAAGCUUUUUGUGACGGUACCUAGAGAAGAAGCACCGGCUAACUACGUG